CCCGCGAAGUCAACAAGCAGUUCGGUUGACUAUGACGAGUCGAACCUCAUAAUAAAUUAUGUGCCGGCAACCAUGACUCAAGAGGAAUUGCGACUACUUUUCUCUCAAGUGGGGCCAGUGGAAAAUUCCAAAGUAGUGCAGGAUAAAAUAACUGGCCAGUCACUUUGCUACGGGUUCGUCAAUUUCAAAUCGGCGGAAGACGCGAGUAAGGCUGUGGAAUUCUUCAACGGUCAAUUCGUCGGACCAAAAAAACUCAAGGCUCUCAUUAUGCAACAGCCGGAAUCAUCCCAAUAUCACUCAACAAAAAUCGAAAUUAUCGCAGAGCCUACCUCCGAACACUCGCUCAAGCUAUCAUUCGCCCUUUGUUGCAGAGCCAACUUGACAGAACAGUAGAAUCGAGCGUGAGCCCCGGAAAAUUGUGUUCAUGCUCUGCAAAACUGGAACACUUCACUUGGGAUCAACCCGCCACUCUGAGAGAAAAUUGGUCUUGCGGCAGUACACCAACCUGCAGAAACAUACCUUCGACAUGGGAUGAGAAAAGUUUGUGAUGUAAAAAGCGCAUGAAGACAUACACGUAUGAUCCUUUGGGGACAGGACACUGAUGUAGUCCACAGCAAUGGGGUCAAAGGUCAGUAUGGUCCAGUCUCCAUUCGAGGCCCACUCGAAGCAACC